rnacentral:rRNA from 1 species
UACAGAGGGUGCGAGCGUUAAUCGGAAUUACUGGGCGUAAAGCGCGCGUAGGCGGCUUUUCAAGUCGAUUGUGAAAUCCCCGGGCUUAACCUGGGAACUGCAGUCGAGACUGUCUAGCUAGAGUAUGGGAAAGGGAAGUGAAAUUUCAGGUGUAGCGGUGAAAUGCGUAGAUAUCUGAAGGAACAUCAGUGGCGAAAGCGACUUCCUGGACCAAUACUGACGCUCAUGUGCGAAAGCGUGGGGAGCAAACAGG